rnacentral:rRNA from 3 species
GACCUCGAAUCAGGUAGGAAUACCCGCUGAACUUAAGCAUAUCAAUAA